UACGUAGGGUGCAAGCGUUGUCCGGAAUUAUUGGGCGUAAAGAGCUCGUAGGCGGUCUGUCGCGUCGGCUGUGAAAUCCCGAGGCUCAACCUCGGGUCUGCAGUCGAUACGAGCAAACUAGAGUGUUGCAGGGGAGACUGGAAUUCCUGGUGUAGCGGUGAAAUGCGCAGAUAUCAGGAGGAACACCGGUGGCGAAGGCGGGUCUCUGGGCAGUAACUGACGCUGAGGAGCGAAAGCGUGGGGAGCGAACAGG
rnacentral:rRNA from 1 species